rnacentral:lncRNA from 1 species
CUGAGUAUUUAUGUUAAACACUUGGUGAGCAACAAAUAGAUGAUAAAAGUAUUGAGCAAUGAUAAAAAUUUGUGGUCACAAACUAGAAACCCAGAAAAAACACAAAGCAGUAAGUACUAAACACAUAAUAGCGAAUAAGAAAACGCAUCAACUCCGGAUGUAACAAAAAGGAACCGCUAGAGAAAGGGAUCAAACAAGAAUAUAUAGACCUUGGUAACUACGACGACAUAUUAGAGAUUGAGCAACCACGAUGACUACGGAUGAGCACCAUGGAUUGCGGAUAAGUCGCUAGAGUUUUGCCGAGACAAAGAGUAGAGAAGGAAUCAUGUUUUUUGAAUGAGACUAGGGUUCGUCGAUUUCUUUGAAUGAAUCGUGUUUCCCCAUCUUUCUCAGGUCCAUGAAUGGACUAGGUUUCGUAAGUUUAGGAAGAAGAAUCAAUUUCUGAGUUUGCGACAAUAAUCAACGGAACAUAGCGAAUUAGGAUUCUUUGCCAGAAGAAACAACAGAUCGGAAUGAAAAGAAUCACGUUUCUCAAUUGCUUUUUGAGAAUCAAUUUUAAGUAGAAGAAGAACGGAAGAAUCAAUUUUGGGAAGAAAUCGCAUAUUGUGUUUUUUGAAUCUUGAAUAUUGGAAUGGAUUCUGAAAUUUGGGAAUGGAAACCCGUGUUUUGUUUUCUCUUGGGGGAAG